GUGGAAUUUUAGUUCCUACUGCUGGAAGAGAGACCUAGUGGGAGGUGAUUGGAUCAUGGGGGAAGACUUCCCCCUUGCUGUUCUCAUGAUAGUGAGUGAGUACUCACAAGAUCUGGUUGUUUGAAAACGUGUAGCACUUCCCCCUUCUCUCUCUCGCUCUCUCUCCUGUCACCAUGUGAAGAUGUACCUGCAUCUCCUUCACCUUCUGCAUGACUGUUCAGCCAGAACUAAUGUUCCAUAAAGCUCACUGGGUGGGGGGUGACAGGACCCAGUCCACCUAGGAAACUAUUUUCUAAUGUUUGCUAUUACACAACUUGUAAGAUGAAAGGAAGAAUUUCACCCAGGACUUCUGUCAUCUACUUUCCAGUCGUUCUUUGGGUGUAAGGAAACCAGAAAAGGAUGAUUUAAUAUUUGAUCGCCAUUAUGAAGCUCACCUCUGCAAUUAGCAUUGACUUCCAGCAGCUGGAAUACAAUCAGAAGAUACUUGUCAUGAAAUGUUGAAAAUUGAAAGGACUCUGUCUCUACAACCAACUAUGGAUGUUAGAUGUUCUUCCUUAUCAUUCUCUCUUUUUUUUUUUUUUUUGUCACAGCAAUUCUCCUAAUCUGUAACCCAUCCCUCUCUUCCCUACUUCAUUCUUACUUCUCUCUCUCACUGUCUCUCAUGUAUUUGUGUGUGCUUUGUGUGUAAGGACCACAUAUGUUCUAUGUUAAUAUGAGAAUAUGUUAAUAUGAGGAUAUUAACUAGGAGGUAAAAAUUUGCUGAACAAACAAACGCAGAUUCUGUGAUUAUUUUGAAAUACUUUGCCAGCAAAGAUUAUUAUAUGGAAGAUGUUGUUACUGUUCCAGAAUUGGUAACUUUGAAUAAAUUAUUUGCCUCUAGAGUUAUGUUGCUACAAAACAAUUAUAUCAGAUAGUUUCUAGUAGCUUUUUACUAAGCAGGUACAUUUAUAUAUAAGAAAAAUUAACAUUAAGAAGAAACUUCAAUAUAAAUAUUCACAACUAUCUAAUAAAUAAGAAACAUAAUAAAUAGAUAUCAAAGAACUUGUUAAUUGUCCCAUGAAAGCUAACUGAAUAGAAAGAAAAGCUUUUAAAGUCUAAACAUUUUAAAUUUCUAAACAAAAUAUGGAAUAAGAAUAAUUUAAGACCAAUUUUUAAACCUCAUUAUUCCUUUAAUCAUCAUAUAAUUUUAAUUACUAUUAUUUAGAUUGGCCAUUGCUUUGGUGUUUUCUACUUUGCAGAAAUAUUCAUAAUAAAUUUCUACCUAAACAUCCAGAACAACUGAGACUUGUAAAAUCAGCCAAUAGAUGGUGCUAACUGUGGCAUUUGCUAAAACACUGACAAAUCUGUUAAAAGCGUUGAGCUUUGUUGAAAUGGAUUUAGUCGGCUUUUAGUGAGUGUCAUAAUAACCUCAGUGUAAUGCAUAUGUUAAAUGAGCAGUCGUAGAAUAUGUUCUAAAACUCAUCAAGUUUUAUUGGGAGGCUGAUAGGCUUUAUUUCCUGCUGUACAGAUAUAGUGAAUCAUAGGGAGUGUUAGGAAAGAAGUUCAAUGAGGAUUCAACCUUGAAUCUUUCUGCUCAUUGGAAAUCCCAAUUAGGAAUAAGACACAUAUAUAAGAUUUAUAUAAUGUCUUUCCUCCAUAAGACCUAAGGUGACAUAUACAUUACCUCUUAAAACAAACAACAUCCUUUGAAAGGUUAACCAUCACUCUGGACAAAAAGAUGCAGUUCUCAGGAUAUAUGUAAAUCUGGAGUUGGAGGAAAUCAAAGCACGGAAAUGGAAUCAGGGACAUUAUACACUGUCGCUUAAAGGCACGUUCUCUGCCAUUGUAUUACCUGUGGUGCAAAUCCUGCUUCUGCCAGUGAUGUCCUUGGCAAAUUACCUGACCCCUCUAUGCUUUAGUUUUCUGUAUCUUUAUAUAGAAAUAAUAACAAUAAUACCCAUCUAUUAAGGUUGUUGUAAGAAUUAAAUGAGUUAAUACAUAUAUAAGGCUUAGGAUAGUGUCUGAUAUGUAAUAAUAUGUAACCUUAGAUCCUCCCUAAUUACUUUUAUGUUUUUUAUUAUAUCUCUAUUAAAAUGUUUAAUGAACAUAAAGUUUAAAUGAUUUUGUACUCAGGGGGACAUAAACUUGCACUGUUUUUGCACGAGAUGCUGUACAUAACAGAGUUUCUAGCACCUUAGAGUUUGUAAAGUGUAGAAUGAGUAGCAUUCUCUGAGUCUAGGUUAGUACUUUGAUGUUUAGAUGUAUUGAAACUGAUGCUUCGCAUAUUUAUUUCUUUAAAACAUAAACUGACUAAAGUCUACAUGUUCAUGUGCAGGUAAUAUGGCCAAUAUGGGCUUCAAUUAGCUAAACCAAUCUCAGUCACAUUCCUCUAUUUGGCUGGGCAGAAAUGGUUUAGGAUUAAAAUACUUGACUAUUUGAGUUAAAUACAUCCAGCCUGAUCAUCAGGUGCCACACCAUAAAUUAUUCCUUUCAAAGCCCUUUUUGGUACUUGGAUUAAGUAAUUAUCCUACCUGCCUAAGUGCUUUACAAAGUGGGUUGCUUUUGCUAACCUAGGCUCUCCCAAGUUUUCAUAAUACCAUUAUUACUUUAACAUACCAUUCCAUUAUUGCCAUGAGACAAUCCUGUAAGGUAAACAUUACCAAAUUUCACUCAUUGGUCAGAUUAUUUAAUUCCCAGACAAGGUUUUCACUGGUUCUUAAAGUUUGUUAUAGUGGAAUUUGGGUCAUCCUAAUGUCAUGUAGCAUGUUCUAAAGGGAUUAAAUGGGACACAAAGGGAGACAGAGGCAUAUUUAAAAAUGUCUAAAUAUGAGUAACAAUUCUGUCACUGGUAGGUUAAAUUAUUAAUAAUUGUAGAGAAAAUAAUGUUUGUCUAUUAUGAGAUAAUAAACUACUAUAUUGC
rnacentral:lncRNA from 10 species